GAGAGAGACAUGCGCGCAUAUCAAUAAGCGGAGGAAAAGAAACUAACAAGGAUUCCCCUAGUAACGGCGAGUGAAGCGGGAAGAGCUCAAAUUUGAAAUCUUAAAGGGUUUCCCUUUACGAAUUGUAGUUUAAAGAAGUGUUUUCUGUUGAGGUUUUGGUAAAAGUUCUUUGGAAUAGGACAUCAUAGAGGGUGAGAAUCCCGUAUUUGACCUUUACUUUCAACUUUGUGAUACACCUUCAAAGAGUCGGAUUGUUUGGGAAUGCAGUCCAAAAUGGGUGGUAAAUUUCAUCUAAAGCUAAAUAUUGGCGAGAGACCGAUAGCGAACAAGUACCGUGAGGGAAAGAUGAAAAGAACUUUGAAAAGAGAGUUAAACAGUACGUGAAAUUGUCAAAAGGGAAGCGUUUGACACCAGUGUUGUUUUUCUGAAAAUCAAUUAAAGAACUGUUUAUGCUAAGUUGUUUAGACUUUAUCAGCUAUCUGUUUAGUUUUGAGCUUUUCUUUAAUGCACUUUUCAGUUAACAAGGUCAACAUCAAUUUCUUUUGCUGUAAAAAAGCUUGAGGAAGGUGGCUUGAGAUUCGUCUUAAGUGUUUAUAGCCUCUUGCCUAUGCAGUCGGAGAGAUUGAGGUCUGCAGCGUAGAUCCUUCGGGGCUAAAUGCAUUUGUGCUAAGUUAUAGCAUUUUAUAGACAACUUGUUGACUAUGAUUUGUCUUGUAGCUUACUCGCUUAUGUUAUUUUACCUACGCUUAGGAUGUUGACGCAUGAGAUAUACGC
rnacentral:rRNA from 1 species